rnacentral:rRNA from 1 species
AUUGAACGCUGGCGGCAGGCCUAACACAUGCAAGUCGAGCGGAUGAAGGGAGCUUGCUCCUGGAUUCAGCGGCGGACGGGUGAGUAAUGCCUAGGAAUCUGCCUGGUAGUGGGGGAUAACGUCCGGAAACGGGCGCUAAUACCGCAUACGUCCUGAGGGAGAAAGUGGGGGAUCUUCGGACCUCACGCUAUCAGAUGAGCCUAGGUCGGAUUAGCUAGUUGGUGGGGUAAAGGCCUACCAAGGCGACGAUCCGUAACUGGUCUGAGAGGAUGAUCAGUCACACUGGAACUGAGACACGGUCCAGACUCCUACGGGAGGCAGCAGUGGGGAAUAUUGGACAAUGGGCGAAAGCCUGAUCCAGCCAUGCCGCGUGUGUGUAGAAGGUCUUCGGAUUGUAAAGCACUUUAAGUUGGGAGGAAGGGCAGUAAGUUAAUACCUUGCCGUUUUGACGUUACCAACAGAAUAAGCACCGGCUAACUUCGUG